GAUGAACGCUGGCGGCGUGCCUAAUACAUGCAAGUCGAGCGGACGGACGAGGCUCUUGCUUCUCUGAUGUUACCGACGGACGGGUAAGUAACACGUGGAUAACCUAGCUAUACGACUUAGAUAACUUCAAGAAACCGUAGCUAAGACCGGAAAAUAUUUUGAACCGCAUGGUUCAAAAGUUAAAGACGGUCUGGCUGUGACUUAUAGAUGGAUCCGCGCUGCAUUAGCUAGUUGGUAAGGUAACGGCUUACCGAGGCAACGAUGGAUAGCCGACCUGAGAGGGUGAUCGGCCACACUGGAACUGAGACACGGUCCAGACUCCUACGGGAGGCAGAAGUAGGGAAUCUUCCGCAAUGGGCGGAAGCCUGACGGAGCAACGCCGCGUGAGUGAUGAAGGUCUUCGGAUCGUAAGACUCUGUUAGUAGGGAAGAACAUAUGUGUAAGUAACUGUGCACAUCGUGACGGUACCUAAUCAGAAAGCCACGGCUAACUACGUG
rnacentral:rRNA from 1 species